rnacentral:rRNA from 1 species
UUGGGUUGUAAAGCUCUUUCGUCGGGGAAGAAAAUGACUGUACCCGAAUAAGAAGGUCCGGCUAACUUCGUGCCAGCAGCCGCGGUAAUACGAAGGGACCUAGCGUAGUUCGGAAUUACUGGGCUUAAAGAGCACGUAGGUGGUUAAAAAAGUUGGUGGUGAAAUCCCAGAGCUUAACUCUGGAACUGCCAUCAAAACUUUUUAGCUAGAGUAUGAUAGAGGAAAGUAGAAUUUCUAGUGUAGAGGUGAAAUUCGUAGAUAUUAGAAAGAAUACCAAUUGCGAAGGCAGCUUUCUGGAUCAUUACUGACACUGAGGUGCGAAAGCAUGGGUAGCGAAGAGGAUUAGAUACCCUCGUAGUCCAUGCCGUAAACGAUGUGUGCUAGACGUUGGAAAUUUAUUUUCAGUGUCGCAGCAAAAGCAUUAAGCACACCGCCUGGGGAGUACGACCGCAAGGUUAAAACUCAAAUGAAUUGACGGGGACCCGCACAAGCAGUGGAGCAUGUGGUUUAAUUCGAAGAUACGCGCAGAACCUUACCAACACUUGACAUGUUCGUCGCGACUUUAAGAGAUUAAAGUCUUCGGUUCGGCCGGACGAAACACAGGUGCUGCAUGGCUGUCGUCAGCUCGUGUCGUGAGAUGUUGGGUUAAGUCCCGCAACGAGCGCAACCCUUACUUUUAGUUGCCAUCAUUUAGUUGGGCACUCUAAAAGAACUGCCAGUGAUAAGCUGGAGGAAGGUGGGGAUGACGUCAAGUCCUCAUGGCCCUUACGUGUUGGGCUACACACGUGCUACAAUGGUAUUUACAAUAGGAAGCAAGAUGGCGACAUCAAGCAAAUCCUAAAAAAAUACCUCAGUUCGGAUUGUACUCUGCAACUCGAGUACAUGAAGCUGGAAUUGCUAGUAAUCGCGGAUCAGCGCGCCGCGGUGAAUACGUUCCCGGGUCUUGUACACACCGCCCGUCACACCAUGGAAGUUGGUUCUACCUUAAGGCAAAGCAUAAAAUCUUUGACCACGGUAUAGUCAGCGACUGGGGUGAAGUCGUAACAAGGUAGCCGUAGGGGAACCUGCGGCUG